CGUUCGCAGGCGUUCUCAAAAGCACAGCCACACGAAAAAAACGAGAAAAAAGAAGCCAAAGCCUCCCAGACCGCCACUUUCACAUCCCAAGAAAACAAACACCUUCCUCCACACACACAGACACAGAGACGGACCAGUGAGCCAGUCACUCGCUGCUCAUGGCUUCUUCUCUGCUAAUCUCUCACUCCAACUUCCUCUCUUUCUCUCAAUCCCCUACUCUCUUCCCUUUCCACCUCAAAACCACCGCUAUAAAACAACGACAGCGACAACAUUACUCUCCUCCUUCUCGUCACCUCAACAUCGUCUCUUCUUCUGCCGCUUCAGCUUCUCUUGAAGCUCUAAUAUUUGACUGCGAUGGAGUGAUUUUAGAAUCUGAACACCUCCAUCGCCAAGCUUAUAAUGACGCUUUUGCUCACUUCAAUGUUAUCUGCUCUUCUUCUCUCCCUCUCAAUUGGUCUCCCGAUUUCUAUGAUGUGCUCCAGAAUCGUAUCGGUGGUGGCAAACCUAAGAUGCGAUGGUAUUUUAAGGAGCAUGGAUGGCCGUCUUCCAACCUAUUUGAGAAGCCACCGGAGGAUGAUGAGAGCCGUGCUAAGCUGAUUGAUACUCUUCAGGAUUGGAAAACUGAAAGGUACAAAGAAAUAAUCAAAUCUGGAACUGUGGAGCCUAGGCCUGGGGUUUUGAGGUUGAUGGAUGAGGCUAAGGCUGCUGGAAAAAAGCUGGCUGUUUGCUCUGCAGCAACUAAAAGUUCAGUUAUACUCUGUCUUGAGAACCUUAUAGGAAUGGAGCGGUUUCAAGGCCUUGAUUGCUUUCUUGCAGGUGAUGAUGUUAAGGAAAAGAAGCCAGAUCCAUCAAUUUAUGUGACAGCUUCCGAGAGGCUUGGUGUGUCGGAGAGGGAUUGUUUGGUGGUGGAGGAUAGUGUCAUUGGUCUACAGGCGGCAACAACAGCUGGAAUGUCAUGUGUUAUCACUUACACUCCUUCAACAGCUGAUCAGGAUUUUAAAGAUGCUAUAGCAAUUUACCCUGAUUUGAGUAAUGUGAGUAUUCAACUGUGCAGAUUAAAAGACUUAGAGUUGUUGCUUCAAAAUGUUGCUGCUGCCAGCUAGCUAGGAAAUUCAGCAUUUUGCUUGAUUGAAAUAUUCAGAACCCGUAGAGUUUACACAAAGCGUCGGCUGUAUGCCGCAAAUCACUAUUCAAAAGGUCAUACUUUCGUCUCCUCUUCUCUCUUGCGCACACAGCCACACAAGAACUAUAUUGCUUGGGGGGAUCAUUUUCUUCUCAACAAGUCUGUAGCAUCUGGUUGUGCAGAAAAAUUAUAUCUUACAAUGUUGCUGAUCAAGAACUAUGUUAACUGCUUGAACCAGAGAGAGAGAUAUUUGUAUCUCUAUUAUUUUUGGAUGAACAAUACCUCACGCAUUUUAACAUGAAAAAGAAGAAUUUAGUGA